GGUAGGAGAGACACGUAGUACUACUUGCUUGAAGUGACGUUUGGCAAAGUUUCGUUCCUAUACUGUUUCACGUUUGUAACAGCUGGAAUCCCUUGACGAUACUUCACCGCGAGAUCUAUUUCUUCCAUUUGCAGACGAGAGGCAAUCUCUCUCUUGACUUCUGACAACUCCUCCAACCGACAUUUUGUUUUAUCGGAUGUCAUCCAGAUUGAUUUCAGUCUGUUGAUUCUGCCGGCAUCCUUCAGGUUGCCGGUACCCUUCGCAUUGAGAAAAGACCGAAGGAGCGCAUGCGCUGCUUCCGAUGAUGCACAUAUCAGCUUCAUCGGCCGAGGCCUUGAUUGCGUCUGCGAGAAAAUCCCAAGUUUGUAGGCACGACUAUUAUUGAGAAUGCUAUUUGCGACUAUUUCAGAAAAAAUCUCAGAAACUGUGGAGAUUGGGAUUUCUUUGUUAGUGGAGCCAUCAUCACUACUCUUCUCGGCAAGACCAAAGAUUAUUAAAUUAUUUUUCCUGGAGAAUCUUUCCUCCAUUCCAGAGAGACAUUGAUGGGUGAGUGACUUGAUGUCAGUGCAUGUGUGGGAGGUAUCAACGGAUUCUAAUUCUUUAAUCGUACCUUCAGCAGCAGCCAUACUGGCAGUUAGGUUUACAACUGGCUUCUCUGUGUCAUCAAUACGCAAAAUAGCAUUGUCAAUUUUCGAAGAAAGAUUGUCAAAUUUCUCGGAAAGCGAAUUUACGGAAGUUGUGACCAUUUCAAGUUCAGGCUUCAUAGAUGCAAUGCCACUUUGCAUUAUGUGUUCGAUGUCCCCAACAGUAAUAGGUGCAGAAGGUGGUCCAGGCGAAGUCGGAGUGCAAGAUCUAGGACGGCAACAUUUUGCAUAGGACCCAUCGUCAAGAGGCGUUGCGCGUUGAGUACAACCAGGAUGGUAAGGAGUUUGACAUGCAGAGCCCAAUGCCGCAUCAAUCACAGUGCCUUUACAUCCCCAAAAAUUUUCUCAGCGGCUAUGAGUAGUUUGUCGGGCUUUUUCUUGGCAGGCAUAUUUAAACAACAAACUAACAAAUAUCCAAAACAGUUAAUGUCCACUAGACCACAGGUUUUUCAGACAUGACAACGACCCCAAAUAUGCGCAAAGAUAGAAUAAUAUAUCAGCUGAAACAAUAUUUUGAAUUGACGCCUGAUGAUUUGGACAAAGAAUGUAACGUUGACUUCCACAGAAGGUGGCGUAGAAUUGGUCGUGCUCUUAAAAAAUUUAAUGAAAUUUACCAGGGUAUCGUUGACGACGCAUCAGAUUCCAAUGAAUCUUAUCUUCAAAGCGUAAAAGAACGUAUUUCGGAUGAAUGUCGCAAAAGUAAACCUUACAAGAAGGCAGCAAUUGUCGUCAUUAAAACAGCGCUACCAUGCGCCGAGAAAGAAACCCAGGACAAUAUUUUUGAAACUUCUAAAAAUCACCUUUGCUAAAACCUGUAUCCACUCAAGCCACUAGCGAAGCAAAUCAACGAAGGCGCGUAAAUAAGUGGAAAGACAACGAAGGGACAAUAUAUAUGACGACUUGGAGUCUUUUACUUAUUUAUCAAUCUGAUUAUCUGCUGUACUAUAUACGGGUUUUACUGCGAUUUUCCUUGUGUACUACGAAAAAAGAAAUAUUAAAUAUUGUAGGUGAAUACUAGUACAGAUAUUGUUUUGAUUAUUCAGUCUUGUAAGACGGGCGCAGCCGCUUGGGCCUUGAACAUAUUAAUGUUAUUAUAAAUUAUUAUUAUGAAUUAUUAUUAUAAAAUACAAUAUUAUACCAUACAUUA